CCCGGGACUCCCAGGAUCACAGCCUAGGCCAAAGGCAGACGCUCAACCGCUGAGCCACCCAGUUGAUUCCCAACCGUAAAUGAAAAAGCAAGCCGACAAAGUCAAAGCUGCUCAAACAGCAGAAGACGCCAUGCGGGUAAUCGAACAGAUGACCAAAGAGAAGAGCGAAACUCUGGCCUCCUUGGAGGAUACCAAGCAAACAAAUGAAAAACUACAGAAUGAAUAUGGCCUCAUGCAGGUUGGAUCUGUGUUAGUGAAGUCAAAUAUACACCAGGAGCACAAUAAUAUUAAAUAAAGUAUAUUACUUCAUUAAAAAAAAGGUCCCCAUCAUCUGAAGUCUCUCUCCAGGGGACCCUGAGAAUGGAAUGGAAAGAACCCUGGAUUUGGUGCCAGGAGAUCUCAGUGUAAAUCCUGAUUCUGUGCAUCAAGCAACUGACAGGCUUGGGGGAGGCAUCUGCCUCUCAGAGCUCAGUCUCCUUCCUGGGCACAGUGGACUUUCCAAGUCAGCCUCCUUCACUAGGCUGUUGGGAGAGUCAAAAGAACAUCAAGGAAGGGCUUGCUAAUAAGUAAUCUUUACUACAGAGUGAAGAAAAUUCAAAGGACAAAUAAUGCAUAAUUGAGUUACAUUCCAGGUACAAAUUUUUAUUAUUCAAAUAACCAUGCAUAUACAUUAAACAACCAAUGUUUCAAACAUUCAACUUUGGCAUUCUCUUUUUUAAAUCUGCAGAGCUCUUUCUUUUUUUUUUUUUUGGCUGGGUACAGUAUACUUUAUU